rnacentral:rRNA from 1 species
GAAACCAACCGGGAUUGCCCUAGUAACGGCGAGUGAAGCGGCAAGAGCUCAAAUUUGAAAGCUGGCUCCUUCGGGGUCCGCAUUGUAAUUUGCAGAGGAUGCUUCGGAAUCGGCCCCCAUCUAAGUGCCCUGGAACGGGCCGUCAUAGAGGGUGAGAAUCCCGUCUGGGAUGGGGUGUCCGUGCCCGUGUGAAGCUCCUUCGACGAGUCGAGUUGUUUGGGAAUGCAGCUCUAAUUGGGUGGUAAAUUUCAUCUAAAGCUAAAUAUUGGCCGGAGACCGAUAGCGCACAAGUAGAGUGAUCGAAAGAUGAAAAGCACUUUGAAAAGAGAGUUAAAAAGCACGUGAAAUUGUUGAAAGGGAAGCGCUUGCGACCAGACUCGCCCGCGGGGUUCAGCCGGCAUUCGUGCCGGUGUACUUCCCCGCGGGCGGGCCAGCGUCGGUUUGGGCGGCCGGUCAAAGGCCCCUGGAAUGUAACGCCUCUCGGGGCGUCUUAUAGCCAGGGGUGCCAUGCGGCCUGCCCGGACCGAGGAACGCGCUUCGGCUCGGACGCUGGCAUAAUGGUCGUAAGCGACCCGUCUUGAAACACGGACCAAGGAGUCUAACAUCUACGCGAGUGUUCGGGUGUCAAACCCGUGCGCGCAGUGAAAGCGAACGGAGGUGGGAACCCCCCGGGGUGCACCAUCGACCGAUCCUGAUGUCUUCGGAUGGAUUUGAGUAAGAGCGUAGCUGUUGGGACCCGAAAGAUGGUGAACUAUGCCUGAAUAGGGCGAAGCCAGAGGAAACUCUGGUGGAGGCUCGCAGCGGUUCUGACGUGCAAAUCGAUCGUCAAAUUUGG